UUGUAACAUAAAACAUUAUGUUACAAGAAAAGCGGCAAUGUGAAAAUUCCGGCAAUGUGUUAUUUUUUCAACGCUAACAUAUAUUUAUCAAGAUGACACAAUUAAAGCAGGACAGAAAAAAGAUGAUGAAGAAAAUUUUCAAGAACCAUCAAUUAAAAAUGUAAAGCUUAAUUCGGAAGAAAAUCAUAU